rnacentral:rRNA from 1 species
GUGCCUAACACAUGCAAGUCGAACGGGACUCGGGGGGCAACUCUCGAGUUCAGUGGCAGACGGGUGCGUAACACGUGAGGAACCUAUCCGACGGCGGGGGAUAGCCGGCCCAACGGCCGGGUAAUACCGCGUACGCUCGUGCUGGGGCAUCCCGGCGCGAGGAAAGCAGCCGCAAGGUUGCGCCGAUGGAGGGCCUCGCGGCCUAUCAGCUAGUUGGUGAGGUCACGGCUCACCAAGGCGACGACGGGUAGCUGGUCUGAGAGGAUGACCAGCCACAUUGGGACUGAGACACGGCCCAG